CCCUACGGGGGGCAGCAGUAGGGAAUCUUCCACAAUGGACGAAAGUCUGAUGGAGCAACGUCGCGUGAGUGAAGAAGGGUUUCGGCUCGUAAAGCUCUGUUGGUAGUGAAGAAAGAUAGAGGUAGUAACUGGCCUUUAUUUGACGGUAAUUACUUAGAAAGUCACGGCUAACUACGUGCCAGCAGCCGCGGUAAUACGUAGGUGGCAAGCGUUGUCCGGAUUUCUUGGGCGUAAAGCGAGUGCACGAGGGUUAAUAAAUUUGAU
rnacentral:rRNA from 1 species